rnacentral:rRNA from 1 species
GGUCCCGAGCGUUGUCCGGAUUUAUUGGGCGUAAAGCGAGCGCAGGCGGUUUGAUAAGUCUGAAGUUAAAGGCUGUGGCUCAACCAUAGUUCGCUUUGGAAACUGUCAAACUUGAGUGCAGAAGGGGAGAGUGGAAUUCCAUGUGUAGCGGUGGAAUGCGUAGAUAUAUGGAGGAACACCGGUGGCGAAAGCGGCUCUCUGGUCUGUAACUGACGCUGAGGCUCGAAAGCGUGGGGAGCGAACAGGAUUAGAUACCCUGGUAGUCCACGCCGUAAACGAUGAGUGCUAGGUGUUGGAUCCUUUCCGGGAUUCAGUGCCGCAGCUAACGCAUUAAGC